UUUGCAAGGCUUUUCCACCAUCUUAUCUAAAUUCAUGUAGUAUAUAAAAGAUGUUAGGUGAGAAAAACUUGCAAAUAAAAUUACUACUUUAAGAUAUGAACGGUAAAAUGUAGAAAUGGGAGUAAGUGGAGGGGGUGGAAUGCAAAAUAAUUAUUGUAGGGUAAACCCGAUUAUAAAUUCUACUCUCUCUUGUUGUUCGUUUGUCAGACUACCACCGCAGCCGUCAGACAUGGCUACUGCUUUUUCGUGCAAGUUCAAAAAAAUCUGGCCUCCCGAUUUGGGUAAAUCAUCGGGUGUUGAAGAACGAUCGUUGACUGCUCAUCGGAUUUCGGAAGACCCAUCUCGUUUCAGGUCAUGAUGCACCUGUUAGUUCUAUAUGCCGCAUAGUAAAGAUAACAUUAAGCUAUCAAUGGAAAGAUCAAGGCAUGGUUACAUGUUGAUCGAGUUUCAAAAAUUGAUUAUGAAACCGAUGGUUAUGUCUGGACGAAAUGGCAUACAAUACUGAUGGGUCAUGUAACGCUUAGCGUUUCUGUAUAAUCCAUAUUUAGACGAAGUGGCAUACCAUACUGAUGGGUCAUGUAAUGCUUAGCAUUUCUGUAUAAUCCAUAUUUAGACGAAAUGGCAUACAAUACCGAUGGGUCAUGUAACGCUUAGCAUUUCUGUAUAAUCCAUAUUUAGAAAGUUGUAUUCUGAUUUAUAUUUAUAGAAACUUGUAUUCGUAUUUCAUUUCCAAUCUUGUAAUCUGAGACUUCGAUCAUAAUAAGAAAAUCGUAUUUAUAUCAA